rnacentral:rRNA from 1 species
GGGGAAUAUUGCACAAUGGGCGCAAGCCUGAUGCAGCAACGCCGCGUGAGGGACGACGGCCUUCGGGUUGUAAACCUCUUUUAGCAGGGAAGAAGCGAAAGUGACGGUACCUGCAGAAAAAGCACCGGCUAACUACGUGCCAGCAGCCGCGGUAAUACGUAGGGUGCAAGCGUUGUCCGGAAUUAUUGGGCGUAAAGAGCUCGUAGGCGGUUUGUCGCGUCUGCUGUGAAAACCCGAGGCUCAACCUCGGGCCUGCAGUGGGUACGGGCAGACUAGAGUGCGGUAGGGGAGAUUGGAAUUCCUGGUGUAGCGGUGGAAUGCGCAGAUAUCAGGAGGAACACCGAUGGCGAAGGCAGAUCUCUGGGCCGUAACUGACGCUGAGGAGCGAAAGCGUGGGGAGCGAAC